rnacentral:rRNA from 1 species
UGCAUCCAGUUGCCAUCGGGCGAGCCGGGCACUCUGAGGGACUGCCGGCGACAAGCCGGAGGAAGGUGGGGAGUGACGUCAAGUCAUCAUGGCCCUUAUGUCCAGGGCGACACACGUGCUACAAUGGCCGGCACAGCGGGAAGCGGAGGGGCGACCCUGAGCGGAUCCCUUGAAAGCCGGUCCCAGUUCGGAUUGCAGUCUGCAACUCGACUGCAUGAAGUUGGAAUCGCUAGUAAUCGCGGAUCAGCCAAGCCGCGGUGAAUACGUUCCCGGGCCUU